AGAGUUUGAUCCUGGCUCAGAGUGAACGCUGGCGGCGUGCCUAAUACAUGCAAGUCGAACGAUGAAGCUUCUAGCUUGCUAGAGUGCUGAUUAGUGGCGCACGGGUGAGUAACGCAUAGGUCAUGUGCCUCUUAGUUUGGGAUAGCCAUUGGAAACGAUGAUUAAUACCAGAUACUCCCUACGGGGGAAAGAUUUAUCGCUAAGAGAUCAGCCUAUGUCCUAUCAGCUUGUUGGUAAGGUAAUGGCUUACCAAGGCUAUGACGGGUAUCCGGCCUGAGAGGGUGAACGGACACACUGGAACUGAGACACGGUCCAGACUCCUACGGGAGGCAGCAGUAGGGAAUAUUGCUCAAUGGGGGAAACCCUGAAGCAGCAACGCCGCGUGGAGGAUGAAGGUUUUAGGAUUGUAAACUCCUUUUGUUAGAGAAGAUAAUGACGGUAUCUAACGAAUAAGCACCGGCUAACUCCGUGCCAGCAGCCGCGGUAAUACGGAGGGUGCAAGCGUUACUCGGAAUCACUGGGCGUAAAGAGCGCGUAGGCGGGAUAGUCAGUCAGGUGUGAAAUCCUAUGGCUUAACCAUAGAACUGCAUUUGAAACUACUAUUCUAGAGUGUGGGAGAGGUAGGUGGAAUUCUUGGUGUAGGGGUAAAAUCCGUAGAGAUCAAGAGGAAUACUCAUUGCGAAGGCGACCUGCUGGAACAUUACUGACGCUGAUUGCGCGAAAGCGUGGGGAGCAAACAGGAUUAGAUACCCUGGUAGUCCACGCCCUAAACGAUGGAUGCUAGUUGUUGGAGGGCUUAGUCUCUCCAGUAAUGCAGCUAACGCAUUAAGCAUCCCGCCUGGGGAGUACGGUCGCAAGAUUAAAACUCAAAGGAAUAGACGGGGACCCGCACAAGCGGUGGAGCAUGUGGUUUAAUUCGAAGAUACACGAAGAACCUUACCUAGGCUUGACAUUGAGAGAAUCCGCUAGAAAUAGUGGAGUGUCUGGCUUGCCAGACCUUGAAAACAGGUGCUGCACGGCUGUCGUCAGCUCGUGUCGUGAGAUGUUGGGUUAAGUCCCGCAACGAGCGCAACCCCCUUUCUUAGUUGCUAACAGGUUAUGCUGAGAACUCUAAGGAUACUGCCUCCGUAAGGAGGAGGAAGGUGGGGACGACGUCAAGUCAUCAUGGCCCUUACGCCUAGGGCUACACACGUGCUACAAUGGGGUGUACAAAGAGAAGCAAUACUGCGAAGUGGAGCCAAUCUUCAAAACAUCUCUCAGUUCGGAUUGUAGGCUGCAACUCGCCUGCAUGAAGCUGGAAUCGCUAGUAAUCGCAAAUCAGCCAUGUUGCGGUGAAUACGUUCCCGGGUCUUGUACUCACCGCCCGUCACACCAUGGGAGUUGUGUUUGCCUUAAGUCAGGAUGCUAAAUUAGCUACUGCCCACGGCACACACAGCGACUGGGGUGAAGUCGUAACAAGGUAACCGUAGGUGAACCUGCGGUUG
rnacentral:rRNA from 1 species